rfam:Chryseobacterium haifense DSM 19056 contig11, whole genome shotgun sequence.
CAAGAAGAACGGCCUGUUGAUUCCGGGAAACCGGGGUAGGAAAGUCCGGACACCAUAGAGCAGCAAAGCGGGUAACACCCGUCGGUCGCAAGAUCAGGACCAGUGCAACAGAAAGUAUGUAUAUUAAUUUAUAGUGAAACCAGGUAAACUCUUUGCGGUGCAAUGUUAAGUAUAUCGGAUUUUUUCAGCAAUGAAAAUAGGAGUUGCUCGCUCCAAAAACCGAGGGGUAAACAGCUAAAGCUUUGCAGUAAUGUAAAGCGCAGAUAAAUAAUAGGCAUUUUCGCUAUGGCGAAUUUACAGAAUCCGGCUUACAGUUUUUCUUGUGGU